AGCGGACAGAUGGGAGCUUGCUCCCUGAUGUUAGCGGCGGACGGGUGAGUAACACGUGGGUAACCUGCCUGUAAGACUGGGAUAACUCCGGGAAACCGGGGCUAAUACCGGAUGGUUGUUUGAACCGCAUGGUUCAAACAUAAAAGGUGGCUUCGGCUACCACUUACAGAUGGACCCGCGGCGCAUUAGCUAGUUGGUGAGGUAACGGCUCACCAAGGCAACGAUGCGUAGCCGACCUGAGAGGGUGAUCGGCCACACUGGGACUGAGACACGGCCCAGACUCCUACGGGAGGCAGCAGUAGGGAAUCUUCCGCAAUGGACGAAAGUCUGACGGAGCAACGCCGCGUGAGUGAUGAAGGUUUUCGGAUCGUAAAGCUCUGUUGUUAGGGAAGAACAAGUACCGUUCGAAUAGGGCGGUACCUUGACGGUACCUAACCAGAAAGCCACGGCUAACUACGUGCCAGCAGCCGCGGUAAUACGUAGGUGGCAAGCGUUGUCCGGAAUUAUUGGGCGUAAAGGGCUCGCAGGCGGUUUCUUAAGUCUGAUGUGAAAGCCCCCGGCUCAACCGGGGAGGGUCAUUGGAAACUGGGGAACUUGAGUGCAGAAGAGGAGAGUGGAAUUCCACGUGUAGCGGUGAAAUGCGUAGAGAUGUGGAGGAACACCAGUGGCGAAGGCGACUCUCUGGUCUGUAACUGACGCUGAGGAGCGAAAGCGUGGGGAGCGAACAGGA
rnacentral:rRNA from 1 species